CUCACACAUUCAAUUAUGUUUUACCACUUGAAAUUUAUGCAUCAAGUCGAGAACAUUAAGAAAAAUUCCUUUUCCAACAUUUAUUAGAGUUCCACAUUUGUUAAUUUGCAUUGAAAGUACUAAUUGAUCCUUAUACCCUAACGCAGCGUUUGGUUAGGGGAUAGGGAUAGGAAUAGGCCCUUAUCCCUCCCUUUAUAUCCAAACGUUAAUUUUUUACCCGAGAAUAGUAGUUCUCGGUUAUCCCCACCAACACCAUUUUCUAUAAAAAACUACUUAAAAUUGUUCUUAUCCUUAGGAACAACCCAAUUUUCAUCCAAACAUUAUUUUUCUUAUCCCCAUACUUGUACCUAUCCCUGUAAUAGCUAGUUCUUUCUUAUACCCGAACCAAACGGUAAAAGAAUAAUAAGUGGUCUCGAGUUUUGA
rnacentral:lncRNA from 1 species